ensembl:lncRNA
CCGCUGAUUGGUUGCUGGGUCUGCUCUCUCUCACUGGGCAGCAGGCCAGGCGCCCUCCGACCGCUUUCCGACUGUGACAUCGGCGAGUGACCAUCCAGGUGUGUCUGGCUCGGAUUCACAACCCCUUUGCUGUGCUGCACCGUGAGUCAAGCCCCUCCGACAGCACGGAGCUGUCUCCCCACUCCAGGACUCCCGCCUGUCCUUCCCUCAGUCCCCUAGGACAGAUCUUCAGAGACGCAAUGGCCUCGGGGCAUUUCCUGAUCUUCUCAGGGAAGAAGCCCAUGACCAGGAGGAUGAACCAACCAGCCAAUCAGAGGCCAGGCUGGACCUGAACCAGGACUGCUCGCAUCCGUUACAUUCUCCCCUGCUCUCUCCGGCUGGACGCAAGAUCGGAGGCUUGGACCCCUCUGCUGACCUCAGCUGGCCCUCUGUGGUGUGGACUGACUCCUUCAUGGCUCAGCUGAGCCCAGGGGACAUCCCAUAAAGCUCUGCAUGCACACACUCUUCUCUCCUUUGUACUGUUAGUUUGGACAUCAGUUUUUUUUUUUUUAAUACAUUUAUUUUUAAUUGAAGGAU